rnacentral:rRNA from 1 species
UACGAAGGGGGCUAGCGUUGUUCGGAUUUACUGGGCGUAAAGCGCGUGUAGGCGGACUUGUAAGCUGGGGGUGAAAUCCCGAGGCUCAACCUCGGAACUGCCUCCAAAACUACAAGUCUGGAGCAAGAUAGAGGCAAGUGGAAUUGCGAGUGUAGAGGUGAAAUUCGUAGAUAUUCGCAGGAACACCAGUGGCGAAGGCGACUUGCUGGAUCUUUGCUGACGCUGAGACGCGAAAGCGUGGGGAGCAAACAGG